AAAUAUAGAAAAUCGAAAAUAUGCCUAGAAGUUCUAAUUUAGACAACCCAGAAAAAAUAUCUGGAAAUUUAUCAACAAUUAAAGAAGGUAAAAAUGAUGAUAUUGAUAUGCAAGCAUUAGAAUCAAUUUAUAUAGAUAAAUUACCAAACAAAGCUAAAAUAACUCCUUUAUCAUAUGAAGAUAAUGAAGAAAAUAUUAUUUCUUUAUAUAGGGAAAAGAAUCCUAAUGAUCCCUUUCAUUUUUUUAGAUUUAGAAUGACAAAAAAUAUGAUUGAUUU